rnacentral:rRNA from 1 species
CAAAACUCAAAAAAUAGAUCUCAGUUCGGACUGUAGGCUGCAACUCGCCUACACGAAGUUGGAAUUGCUAGUAAUCGUGGAUCAGCAUGCCACGGUGAAUACGUUCCCGGGUCUUGUACACACCGCCCGUCACACCAUGGGAGCUGGUAACACCCGAAGUCAGUAGUCUAACCGCAAGGAGGACGCUGCCGAAGGUGGGAUUAGCGACUGGGGUGAAGUCGUAACAAGGUAUC